rnacentral:rRNA from 1 species
UACGUAGGGGGCAAGCGUUGUCCGGAAUCAUUGGGCGUAAAGCGCGUGUAGGCGGCUGACUAAGUCCGCUCUGAAAGCCCGGGGCUCAACCCCGGGAGGCGGGUGGAUACUGGUCAGCUCGAGUCCGGAAGAGGAGUGUGGAAUUCCUGGUGUAGCGGUGAAAUGCGCAGAUAUCGGAAGGAACACCAGUGGCGAAAGCGGGUCUCUGGGCCGAUACUGACGCUGAGGAGACGAAAGCGGUGGGGAGCGAACAGG